GUUCGCUUUCCACUUCCGAAUACCAAAGAGCGAUUGAGAGAAGAGCAGUACGUAGGACUUAAAAAGAGGGUUCCUUCCUCUCUUCACUCUCCGAAUUUCGAUCCUCACCUUUCUGGUGCCAAAGGCCUACCCUUCCACUUUACAGGAAGUUCUAAAGGAAGAGAAAAGAAAGUCACCUUUCCUGCCAACCUCCUGGCUUUAUUCUUAUACUGAUCGAGCUGCACUAUUUUCUAUUCUAAUAGAUUCCACUUCGCUUGCUUGCACGACUUCCUCUUUGCUUAAAAAAAAGGGGGCAAGUCAAGUAAGUAAGCAGUGAUCUGAACCAAAGCACAAGCUUUGAAAUAGAAAGAAAGAUAGAAGGAAAGCAAGAAAGAACUAUCUGACUUCGCUAUCUUUCUAUGAGCUCCUAGGAAAGAGAUCCUACUCCCAAAGAAAGGAAGCUUAAGAAUAGUCAUUAAGAGAGGUGACGGUGACCCUCUUUUGCUUUUUCAAGCUAUGAAUGUAGAGAUCAGGUUGAAGAGUGAAAGGGACGAAGUGGUAUGAAGUUGCUUGAACCUAGCGCUCGGGAGGUUGUGCUCGACCGAAAGGGUAAGGGCAAGAAUACUUGGAUGGACGUAGUUCAGGAUCGAUGUAAUUGAGACAACUAAGUAGAGGAUGGGAAGAUGUGAGACCGGCCAAAGGUGGUUCUAUAUAGCUCUUACG
rnacentral:lncRNA from 1 species